rnacentral:lncRNA from 10 species
CCUUUUCCUGCUUUGCUGCACCCUGAUACCGUGGGAUGCUGCCAGACCUGACAUGUCAGAUGAGAAGGGGCCUUGGAUAACCUGCCAAAACAACAGCACAAAUAAACGCCAGACACCGGGGCUGCUUGAUGUGGAAUUACAAACAUCGCUCCCAUCAUCGAUUCAAAUGCAGCUGAUAUGUAAAGCUCACGUUGUGGCUGCCUUAGAUGAAGGGGGAUCUCGCAGCCCAAGUGCACCCGGCGGGGUGGGGCUGGCGGGAACAAAGUGCCUCCCUGGUACCCCGGCUGCUCAUUUUCCUCGGGCAAGGUGGGAGCCGAGGCUCUGCACGCAGGACGGCGAUAUUUAACAUGCAUUGGUUUUCUUAUAAAAGUUCUCUGAUUGUCUAAUGUGACAGACUCUGGCAUGGGAGACACUGCCACGAAAAUUGCCUCCUGUAGCACCGCUUGAUUUAAGGGAGAGGCAGCGCUUGGGAGAAAAAGAGUCAAAUGCAUGCAGCUGGUGGUGUCUUUCUUUACAUAUUCCCUUUGCGUUCCUGCAGAGCCCCGCGCAGAAGGUGGCAAUUGUGGGAAGAGGGCAAUAUUUACUGGCUGUGUUUCUUUAAGACCCAAAACCACAGUGGUGGUGAUUACAUUUCUGCCUCAUGUUAAUGCAAAUCCCUAUGGUUGAUUGCAAGAUUUAAUUUUUUUUAAAAAAAUUGAUGCAUAAUAGAUGUACAUAGUUUUGGGGUGCAUGUGACAAUUGAAUACAUUCAUAGAAUUUAUAAAGAUAAAAUCAGUGUACUUGGGAUAUCCAUUAACUUCAAUAGUUGUCUUUUCUGUGUGCUAGAACCAUUUGAACUCUUCUCUCGUUAGGAUUCAUUCUGUUUUGUAGGUUACAUAGGGAUUAUCAGAAAAGGCUUUUUAAAAAAUUCUAUCUUAAACUAUAGAAAAGGAAUCUUUUAUGAUUUCUUUUGAAAUUUUUGUACCAAGCUUUGGUUUUUACCACCUCACUCCAGAAUGGCUAAGCUGACAUUUUUUUUUUUUCCCACAAUGUGCAGAUCUGAAAGCUGUAGGGAAAAUAAGUUACAAAGACCUGCCCUUGAGCCAGGACUUUUCUGCGUUCAGGGCGGGUCAUCGGGGCCGUGGGUUGGGCCACACCGCCACAUUGACGGCAGAUGACCCCUCCAUGGCGCUUGCCUGCCCCGGCACCACCACCCACACUGCAUCCUGUUCUGUGCCACCUACAAACCAGAGUCAGAAAGAUCUCUUAGCCGAAGUGGUAUGAGUGAGAUUUAAUGCAAGGAUUAAAUGACCAGUGGUGCUCAGAGAGAUUAUUGACAGCUGGUUUGCCUCACGGGCAGUCCAUUUUGAAAAUAACCUGCACAUUGAAAAUAUGCUGUACAUUAAAAUACACAUUCUCUAUUUUCAGCCCAUGAUGUAAAGUUCAUCCCAAUAACAAAGUACUAAAUGAUUGUGGAUC